GAAGAUGUGUGGAGGGAGGCUUGCUGUUUAAAAUGGGGUCAUCAGGAGACAUCUCAAGCAGCAGGAGCCCACCCUCAGGCCACUCUGCAGUGCAGGGAUCAGCUGAGCCUUCCCUGCCCUGUGCCUGGGGCAGGGAGGGGCAGGGAGGGGCAGAGAGGUAAGAGGGGAGAGGAAGGGAGAGCACGUGAGGCGGCUGGAGGGCUCUGAGUGUUACUCCAAAUGAGCUACAACUGUUGAGGUUUUGAGCUGAGAAGUGUUGCUGUCUGAUUUAUCUUUCAGGAGGCUCUUCCUGGCUGCAGUGAUGAAAAUCAGCUGUAAGAAGAAAGGAUGGAGAUGCAGUGAAAACAAAGCUGUCUUCAGACUCAAGUUCUUGUGGGACUAAAUCAGCAAAGGACAGAAGGUGGAAACUGAGGAAGAUGUUGCUGGAGGCGG
rnacentral:lncRNA from 1 species